rnacentral:rRNA from 1 species
UGAGCAACCUGCCCCUGGCUCUGGGAUAACCCCGGGAAACCGGAGCUAAUACCGGAUACGAGACCGAUUGGCAUCUAUACGGUCUGGAAAGUUCUUCGGCCAGGGAUGGGCUCGCGGCCUAUCAGCUUGUUGGUGGGGUAAUGGCCCACCAAGGCGACGACGGGUAGCCGGCCUGAGAGGGUGACCGGCCACACUGGGACUGAGACACGGCCCAGACUCCUACGGGAGGCA